rnacentral:miRNA from 1 species
CCACCAUUUGUUAAGGCCUAG